rnacentral:lncRNA from 1 species
GGCGGCCGGCCACUGCCCGUCAGCACGCCGGGGUAGAUCACGUCACGGCAGUUGCUGGUGAACAUGAACCUUGCUGACAUGGCACCUGAAGACGCACGCAGUGCACCAGGGAUUAGUGACACGGUUGAUCAGCGUAAAGGUACGUUAUAGUUUUCUCAUGAGUUAAAAAUUAUAACUUUAACUUAAUUUAUGGAAAAACCAUUAACAUUUGCAGUAUCAAAAUAAGUUCUGAUCAAUAUUGUAGAUGCCAUGUAUUUUUAGCAAGUACAGAAUGUUUAACUGGCAGGUUAAAAAUGAAGUAUCUUGUUGACGGACGGAAUAUAUACUCCUUCCAUUCCAUAUUAAAAGAUUUUAUAAGUUUGACUAGAUUUAUAUAUAUAUAUAUAUAUAUAGAUUCACUGGCAUAUAUAAAUAUAUCUAAACGAUAUCAGAAAGUCGUAACGUGGAACAGAAUAAAUAGCUAGUAAACCGAUAACUAAAUAGGUUAACAGAGUACAAAAUUUUACAAAGACAAGAUCCUUUUCUAGUGACAUCGUCGAAUUCGAUGUUAAAUUAUGUUUGUCAGGAGUCUAAUAUUUUGCUUUAACAGAUUUAUUUAUUAUUGAAGUAAUUGAAUAAUCCAUGGCCUGCUCAUCUUAUAUAUACACUGGCUGUAAUAGGCUGUAUCUUGCGCAUCACCAGAGAUAACCGAUGCUAUUUUGUAUGGGACACCUGGCAUAUAACAUGUUAUAUAAUGAGUGACAUCAUCUAAUGGUUAUCUAGUGGUUUUAUUACGGAGAUACUAUAUUUUUUCUCUUUGAUUUGUAUUGGCGUAUAUGAGAAAAAAAGAAGAUGAAAUCUAUUUUUUUUCGCACCGUUGGGCCUAAGUUCUUGUGACCUAGCUAAUUAACCAAAAUAAAGAAAAUAAAAACACCUCACAUCCCAUAAUUUCUACUCAGGAAUAACAAUAAUGUGUUUUUAUUUACUUUCUAUAUAUGACAGAUCUUCAUUGGCGAGAGAUUGGAAAAAGCCACAACAGUACGUGUAAAAAAACAAUAAACUAAGUUAUUUAUAGAUCCUCAGUCUGCAAGGAGAGGCCUCUUUGGUUCCUCCUAAGCUAAUUUCAAAAGACAAGUACCAAUGAUCUUAAUUAAAUCAACUACUCCCUAGAAAUCAACCCCUUGUAGAGUUGCAAUACCCUGAUUAACUUUAUUAUCCGAUUCAAAAUCAGUUAAUCCUAUAUAUUUGCAAGAUCUACCUUACAUGAAAAUCAUAGACUGUUUCUUCAACCGAAAAAAAAAAAGUCCACCUUGCAAUCAGAAAAACAUAUCAAACACUACAAAUCAUUAAAAUUUUUGAACCAAAAAAAAUCUCAUCUCGCAACACAAAAAAAAACAUAUAACACGCAUUAAAGUCAGCAAUAUGCAGAUGAAAAUUGUUAAGAGGGGCUGUUUAGUUACCUGGAGAAAGAACCGAGGCGGCCAAGAGGAGGAGAAGAACAGCCGGCGAGCCUCCUCCCAUUGCAACCAUGGAGAUGGGCACCAAAAGAAAUUGGUAUUGGACUCGGUUCGAUUUCUUUUUUCUGUGCCGCGAUAGGGGGACACCGGCUAUGUCUUGCAUAUGUGUAUUUUAUAGGGAGGAAUGCCAAGAUUGAUCUUAUCAGGUAAUGCAAGAAAUGGAAGGAUCUCUUAGAUCGAACAGAUCGAUCACACGUUUUAGGUAAUCCAACGUCUACGAUGGAAAGAUAUGGUAAUUUCAAUUAUGAUUCUGCACCAAAUCCAACUGGACUUGGGGACAGAUCGAUCGCAGUCUUGGCAAGGGUUAAACACGGCAUGAUUAAUGCUCGACAAAUAAUCUCUCUUACUGUGAAAAGGCAUAUUUUUGUGGCACCUAUAUAAGCUUAGUUUCCACGUGGUACGAAGGUUGAAAUAUUUUUUUUCCUUGUACAAUUCUGCC